ACUCAGGACGGACAGACAGACCUAGGAGAUGGGAGAUGGAAUGCCUCCAAGGCAUCUGGGCCCUGUGCUCAUCCUCACCACAGCGUCCGAAGGUGUCACCCCCCGUUUCCAGUGGCUGUCCGGCGCUGCUUGCAUACCUCCAGGGACAGUGAGCUCACUACC